rnacentral:rRNA from 1 species
CCUACGGGCGGCAGCAGUGGGGAAUAUUGCACAAUGGCGGAAACCCUGAUGCAGCGACGCCGCGUGAGUGAAGAAGUAAUUCGUUAUGUAAAGCUCUAUCAGCAGGGAAGAAAAUGACGGUACCUGAGUAAGAAGCCCCGGCUAACUACGUGCCAGCAGCCGCGGUAAUACGUAGGGGGCAAGCGUUAUCCGGAUUUACUGGGUGUAAAGGGAGCGUAGACGGCAGUGCAAGUCUGAAGUGAAAGCCCGUGGCUUAACCGCGGAACGGCUUUGGAAACUGUGGAACUGGAGUGCUGGAGAGGCAAGCGGAAUUGCUAGGGUAGCGGUGAAAUGCGUAGAUAUUAGGAGGAACACCAGUGGCGAAGGCGGCUUGCUGGACAGUAACUGACGUUGAGGCUCGAAAGCGUGGGGAGCAAACAGGAUUAGAUACCCUAGUAGUC